GUGGAUUAGAUACCCUGGUAGUCCACGCUGUAAACGAUGAGAGCUAGUUGUCGGCACGCAUGCGUGUCGGUGACGCAGCUAACGCAUUAAGCUCUCCGCCUGGGGAGUACGGCCGCAAGGUUAAAACUCAAAGAAAUUGACGGGGGCCCGCACAAGCGGUGGAGCAUGUGGUUUAAUUCGAAGCAACGCGAAGAACCUUACCCACGUUUGACAUGUCCAGUUUGGGCUGCAGAGAUGCGGUCCUUCAGUUCGGCUGGCUGGAACACAGGUGCUGCAUGGUUGUCGCCAACU
rnacentral:rRNA from 1 species